CCCUUUCUUCCCAGUUAGAAAUCUAAGCUUGCAAGGAGAGGCUUACAACCGGUCAGUUGGUAACUUUUGUAGCUGUCUUGGUGGAGAGCUAUUUUUAGAAAUGGAUCCUAAAGCCUUGAAGAAAGUUAGCAUGCAGAGGCUUCCCCAAACAUCAUUGUUAACAGUAUCCUUCUCUUCCGGUGAUCUCUCUGAAAAAUGAUCACUUUAUGUAAUUUGAAAUCAUUUUUCUCCUGGUGUUGCCUACUUCAAGAACAUUUGCCAUGCCUUUACUUCUGUAUUCGAUCUUGACUCCUGCCCUCGUGUUUCAAAAGUAAUUGCUACAUUUCAGGCACCAUGCUGGGGAGGGAUUGUGAGGGUUGAACAAAGAAAAGAGGGCAAGGUUCUUGAGACCUCCUUCACCAGUGUGAGGGAUGAUAGGCACGCAUGGUCGGGGCCAGCAGAGAGAUAUGGGCAAAAUCCAUGCGAGUUCAGAGGAAGCAGAGAUUCCCGUGUGUUGGAGGAUCGGGGAAGCUUCGUGAAAGAGGCUGCAUUUGAGGGUAACCUUGAUGGACGAAAUGUCAGCAAAGAACUGGAGGGAAUGAAGGGGCGAUGGCUGCAGCCGGGGGUGACUGAACAGUUACAAGAUGCUUCUCAAAAACGGACUCACCUUUGGUGGACCGCUGGGAGCAGGCGAGCAGGUGUGACGGAGGCUUCCUGCAUCACUGCUGUCAGCUGCAGGAUGCGCUUCACUGGGGUCAGCAGACGCUGCAUCUCCAGAAGAUCAAGCAGAAAGCGAGGCGUUCACAGACCUUGAAA